rnacentral:rRNA from 1 species
CGAAUAGGGGAGCCGAAGGGAAACCGAGUCUUAACUGGGCGUUAAGUUGCAGGGUAUAGACCCGAAACCCGGUGAUCUAGCCAUGGGCAGGUUGAAGGUUGGGUAACACUAACUGGAGGACCGAACCGACUAAUGUUGAAAAAUUAGCGGAUGACUUGUGGCUGGGGGUGAAAGGCCAAUCAAACCGGGAGAUAGCUGGUUCUCCCCGAAAGCUAUUUAGGUAGCGCCUCGUGAAUUCAUCUCCGGGGGUAGAGCACUGUUUCGGCAAGGGGGUCAUCCCGACUUACCAACCCGAUGCAAACUGCGAAUACCGGAGAAUGUUAUCACGGGAGACACACGGCGGGUGCUAACGUCCGUCGUGAAGAGGGAAACAACCCAGACCGCCAGCUAAGGUCCCAAAGUCAUGGUUAAGUGGGAAACGAUGUGGGAAGGCCCAGACAGCCAGGAUGUUGGCUUAGAAGCAGCCAUCAUUUAAAGAAAGCGUAAUAGCUCACUGGUCGAGUCGGCCUGCGCGGAAGAUGUAACGGGGCUAAACCAUGCACCGAAGCUGCGGCAGCGACGCUUAUGCGUUGUUGGGUAGGGGAGCGUUCUGUAAGCCUGCGAAGGUGUGCUGUGAGGCAUGCUGGAGGUAUCAGAAGUGCGAAUGCUGACAUAAGUAACGAUAAAGCGGGUGAAAAGCCCGCUCGCCGGAAGACCAAGGGUUCCUGUCCAACG